rnacentral:rRNA from 1 species
AUUGAACGCUGGCGGCAUGCCUUACACAUGCAAGUCGAACGGUAACGCGGGGCAACCUGGCGACGAGUGGCGAACGGGUGAGUAAUACAUCGGAACGUGCCCAGUAGUGGGGGAUAGCCCGGCGAAAAGCCGGAUUAAUACCGCAUACGACCUACGGGUGAAAGCAGGGGGAUCGCAAGACCUUGCGCUAUUGGAGCGGCCGAUGUCAGAUUAGGUUGUUGGUGGGGUAAAAGCCUACCAAGCCGACGAUCUGUAGCUGGUCUGAGAGGACGACCAGCCACACUGGGACUGAGACACGGCCCAGACUCCUACGGGAGGCAGCAGUGGGGAAUUUUGGACAAUGGGGCGCAAGCCUGAUCCAGCCAUGCCGCGUGCGGGAAGAAAGGGCCUUCGGGUUGUAAACCGCUUUGUUCAGGGAAGAAACGCUCCGGGCUAA